GAGGAGUGGGCUCUUUGCGGAGUAGUGGUAGUAGAAUCAUCAGAUGGGGUGAUUGACACUGCAGUGGGGGUGGUUGAAGAGGAGUGGGGUCUUUGCGGAGUAGUGGUAGUAGAAUCAUCAGAUGGGGUGAUUGACACAGCAGUGGGGGUGGUUGAAGAGGAGUGGGGUCUUUGCGGAGUAGUGGUAGUAGAAUCAUCAGAUGGGGUGAUUGACACUGCAGUGGGGCAGGUUGAAGAGGAGUGGGGUCUUUGCGGAGUAGUGGUAGUAGAAUCAUCAGAUGGGGUGAUUGACACAGCAGUGGGGCAGGUUGAAGAGGAGUGGGGUCUUUGCGGAGUAGUGGUAGUAGAAUCAUCAGAUGGGGUGAUUGACACAGCAGUGGGGCAGGUUGAAGAGGAGUGGGGUCUUUGCAGAGUAAUGGUAGUAGAAUCAUCAGAUGGGGUGAUUGACACUGCAGUGGGGGUGGUUGAAGAGGAGUGGGGUCUUUGCAGAGUAGUGGUAGUAGAAUCAUCAGAUGGGGUGAUUGACACUGCAGUGGGGGUGGUUGAAGAGGAGUGGGGUCUUUGCAGAGUAGUGGUAGUAGAAUCAUCAGAUGGGGUGAUUGACACAGCAGUGGGGGUGGUUGAAGGGGGGACCUUGACCGUCGGGGUGGCGCUUGCAUGGAAGGGGUGGCUCCCAAAAGUCAUCAUCCAAAUCUUCUGCAUCCUCCACUCUGUGGUGAAUAAAAUAAAGGGAUAUAUUGUUGUAAGACACAGAAUUACAGUUGACUAAAUUUACAAAACGACAUUACUGUAGAGUAAAAACACCACGCCUAAACUUUAUCUGUACAGUGACUCUCAUAGAAGGUGUGAAGCACACACACAAUGCAAACAGUAACACAAAGGCGACAACCACAAAUAAACAAUGGCCAUGAGAGUUUAGUGGCCUCUCCAAAGUUACAAAGAUGAAACUUAGAACAGCAAACAGUGAACUAAUAUGAAACAUAGACAAUAACUACUUUGGAAAUAUAUAACAUUGAAAUGACUUGUUACAUAGGCCUAUGGUAACUAAAUCCAAAGCACAAAAAGCAGAAGAUUUGUAAAAAAAAAAACAAUACCUAUAGUAAAUAUAUAAAGUCAUGAAAAUAAUUUACUUACAGAUCUA